UAGACCCCCAUUUUUUAUUUUAGGGAGAGAAGUUUCUCCUUCCAAGAAUAAUCGAAUUAGAGUCUCUUCAUUUCUCUCUCUACUGUCACUCCAGGGGGAGAGGGAGAGUUAUCUUCCUUGCCACAGAGAUACAGAAAGAGUAAUUUCCUUUCCACGGACAACCGAAACACAUAAUUCCCACAUUUCGAUCCCCUUCUGCUGUAAAUUACAGAGAGAGAGAGUAGCAUUCUUGGGGAAGGAAAAAAAUUGCAGAGCUCUCCCACAUUUGGGUCUCUCUCUGUUGAAAUACAUAGAGAGAGAAAGUGAAAGAGAGUUGCAAUCUUGGCAUAAAGAACCGAAUCAGAGUAGAUUCAUCAUUUGAGGUUCUUUGCUGGAGGAUUCUGGGAGUUCGUUUGGAUCGUCCUUUCUUGGAGAUCUCUAACCCUCCGGUUAUUAGUUCACCCAAACCAAAGAAACCCGAUUACUGAGCCAUCACAAUACAAUUCAGCUUCUGGAUUUCCUCCGCUGAUUUUAGAGAGUGAAAGCACACCCCAUCUGGUAAAUCUCUCACCGCAACAAAAUUUUGGGGUACUUGAGGAUUGCUCUUCUUUGAAAUUCUAGAGAGGGAAAGCGACAGAGAAGUACAUGGAUCGCGAAAGAGAGAGAAUGGAUGGUGAAGCAGGCAGUAGCAGCCGGGGAAAGAAGGAGUUGAUAUGGAUACAAUUGCCCGAGGAUUCCGAUUGUGUGGGCGUAAGAACCACGACGGAUGGUAAGUUCGAGACAGUUGUGUAUGAUGAAAACUAACCUUCGAAAUUUGCGAUAAAGAGUGUCAAUACCUAUGGUGAGGCGUUUGGUGCAUAUGGGGUUUGUCGGAAGAGCCAUGCAGAUGCCUUAAUUCUUGCGAUGAAAGAGGGGAUGAUCUGGCGUUUGGAAGAAGUGGGAGAGGAUGAGAGAGAAAGUGGAGGAGAGAGAGAGCUUGGAGAGAAGGGGAAAGGGGUGAAGAAGAAGAAGGGCCUGUUUCAGAAGAUCAACGAUGGCUUCAAGAAGAUGUUGUCUAAAAAGAAGGAGGAUUGAGGAAAGAUAAAAAAGACAGAGAAAUGAUGAUGCCCACAACCAUGGUGGUCUGAGAUUUAGCUGUCAUCAACUUCGCUUUCUUAUUCAUUCAUGUAACUCUUACAUGUUCUUUUUCUGUUUUUUCUUUUUCUUUUUAAUUUUCAAAGCAUCAAUUUCUUCAGCAGAUGUACAUGAAUGCCAUUCUUUCAUCAAGACUCAAAAUAAUCAUCUGGUCAGUCGUUGUAUUUGAUGUUUUGGUUUUAAUCAUUGCAGCAGUUUGUAUCAGAUUUCAAUGUGAGAAUGUUCAAUAAAAUGCUGGUGAUUGCUUCA